UACGGAGGAUGUGAGCGUUAUCCGGAUUUAUUGGGUUUAAAUGGUGCGUAGGCGGGAUGCCAAGUCAGCGGUAAAAAUGCGGUGCUCAACGCCGUCGAGCCGUUGAAACUGGCGUUCUUGAGUGGGCGAGAAGUAUGCGGAAUGCGUGGUGUAGCGGUGAAAUGCAUAGAUAUCACGCAGAACUCCGAUUGCGAAGGCAGCAUACCGGCGCCCUACUGACGCUGAGGCACGAAAGCGUGGGUAUCGAACAGG
rnacentral:rRNA from 1 species